AUGCAAGUCGAACGGUAACAUUUCUAGCUUGCUAGAAGAUGACGAGUGGCGGACGGGUGAGUAAUGCUUGGGAACUUGCCUUUGCGAGGGGGAUAACAGUUGGAAACGACUGCUAAUACCGCAUAAUGUCUACGGACCAAACGGGGCUUAGGCUCCGGCGCAAAGAGAGGCCCAAGUGAGAUUAGCUAGUUGGUAAGGUAAAGGCUUACCAAGGCGACGAUCUCUAGCUGUUCUGAGAGGAAGAUCAGCCACACUGGGACUGAGACACGGCCCAGACUCCUACGGGAGGCAGCAGUGGGGAAUAUUGCACAAUGGGGGAAACCCUGAUGCAGCCAUGCCGCGUGUGUGAAGAAGGCCUUCGGGUUGUAAAGCACUUUCAGUUGUGAGGAAAAGUUAGUAGUUAAUACCUGCUAGCCGUGACGUUAACAACAGAAGAAGCACCGGCUAACUCCGUGCCAGCAGCCGCGGUAAUACGGAGGGUGCGAGCGUUAAUCGGAAUUACUGGGCGUAAAGCGCACGCAGGCGGUUUGUUAAGCUAGAUGUGAAAGCCCCGGGCU
rnacentral:rRNA from 1 species